GCUACUUUAGUAUAUUUUAUUACUGUAGCUUUUCGUGCUACAAAAGGUGAGUUGUUGUUCACCAAGUAGUA
rnacentral:tRNA from 3 species